CCCAGUCUUGCCAACACAAAGGUUGCUGGGGUGAGGCAGGCCUCCACAAUUGCAGGACUAGGGUGCCUUCUGCCCCAGCAACAACACCAGCCCGGGUUGUUGUGUGUACAACAGAAAAAUUAAAGUCAUGUAUGGAACCUUGAACUCAUUGAAGGAAAGGCAGGAUAUACAUCUCGCUCACUCUCCUCCAUGAUUGAAGAGCCCAUAUUACUGAGUCUCUCAUCUUGAAAUCUUU